GAGCUCGCUCUGGUUCGCGGAAUCCUCCUGAACCGCCCGCGGAGGCUCGAGCCUUGCGCCGUUUCUCUCCCAAAGUCUAUUUUGGAAAGUAGUGUCGGGAAUGGGACAGGUUCUUUGAUUUAGGGAUGAAGGUGGUUUCCUCACUAUCGAGUCACCCCCUCCAAAAUACUGCAGAAGGUGGACGGACCCAGUUGGCGGCACAUCUCGAAACCCGCGGGGGAGGCCGUGUUGGACGAAGGGCUGCUUCGGGGAAGGAAUCCCCCUUCCGCCAGCAGAGGACCCGUCCGCGGCGUGAAGGCUUCUGGGAAAUGUAGUCCAAGAGUCGAUUAGGGCCUGCUCCGAGUCCCAGGAGCCCCUCUUCAAGCUGCCGGAUCGCCUCGAACCUUAUAAACCCAGUACUUGCAACGGUUGCGCGGCCGUUCCAAAUUGGUUUUGUAAUUAGCCCUCAUACAAAACACUUUGUGAAGCUGCGGAGGGCCCAGGGCUGUCCACUACUCUUCCUUCCUCUACGCACCCCCACCCCCGAGCAGGAUGAGGUAAUGGGGUUGUGAUUAUGACAUCAUAGGCGGUUCAGUUGCUUGCGGGGGUGGGUUGGUGGGGGGGGGAGGGAAGGAGUAUGGUGGUUACAGCUGGACCACUUAAGACAGGGAGGGAGGAAACAGGCAGCUGGAGAAAAGAUGUUCAUGUCCGUAUAUUUCCUCUUUAGGAACAGGAUACCACCCUUUAUUAAAUCUCCACCACUACCACCAUCUCCCACCUCAGCCAAAGUUUAAGUCUUUUUUCGAAAAGACUGCAUGUAGACGUUAGUAGGGAAGAGGCUGAGGAACAGCUAAAUGGUUCCUGACUUUCAUGUAAAUUCGAGGCUCAGCUAUCAAAAAAGGUUUAGAAAGAAAGGCAAAAAGAAAAAGAGGCUUUAAACAAUGCCUUCGUGUUGCCAUCUUUUUGUACAGGAGUUUUAGAUUUCUUUUUUAAUCGAUUGGGAAGUAGCAGUAAUGCAAAUAAUCUUCACUAUUACAACUAUUACACUAUUACAACUUAGCAGCAAGUCCCUUGAAAGACGUCUGUUUUCUCUAAAUAUUUUGUGCCCCACUCAAGUCUAGGACAGAUAUGUAACUGAUCAGCUACAAAGUAGCACCAGUGGUGGGGAUCUUCCUCACAGAGCCAGGGGAGGGAGUAGGCAGGAGCCACCAAGUCUGCAAACUGAAAAAGAAGAGUGAAGAGAAAGUGAGAUUUAUCAAGAAAAUAGGGGUGGAGGAAGAUAGAUGCACUGCAUAUUCCCUUGCCCUGCACAUUUCCCCUUGGCAAAAGAGGGAACAAGGCCAUGAAGUAUAGGAGACAUGGUUUCCAGUAAUUACUGUUGUGGAGCACUUAUUAUGUACCAGACACCGUGCUACAUACUUUAAAAAAGUAUUCUCAUUUUUGCUUAGAAUCAUGAAAUGAGCAAAUGUCUCUAUUUGACAGAUGAAAUGGUUGGAAAGAUUAAGUGACUGCCCAUCUGGUAGGCAAAGGUAAUAUUACAGAGCAGUCCUUGAUGCUUUAAAGUCCUUGGUCUUCACCACUUGAUGAUCCUCCUUUUUUUAUUAUGUAUUAUCCUUUUAUAAUUUUGUUAUUAUCCUUUUAUUAUUAACAAUGCUUUAAUAAAGUUCAAUGAUUGAGAUUAAGAAGUUAGCAUUGGCUCAUAUGCAAAACAUUUAUAAAAUGAGACACUUGAAAAAAACAAACAUCCAAAUCCUCCAUGUCAGGUUUCAGGCCUCAACUCCAAGGAAGAUUAUACCCCUUUCAUCAAGUAUAAGAGAGCCCCCAGUGCAGCCCAACUUCCCUGCCAUUACUAACUAUAAUUAAAUCUCCUUAUGCCACCUUUA